CUGGGUCCCCAGCUGAAAAAAAAAAAAAAAAAAAGACAAAAUGGAAAUUCCCUUGUCAACUGUAAUGCUAACGCAAAAAGCACCAGCCCAUUUUAUGCAAGCUCACUCUGAUUAUGCUGCUGCUCAGAUCCACCGUGCAACAGGGCCAGGCCGAGAGCCGUGGGAACGGAGCAAGUGUUAAUGAGCGUCACCUGCGCGCCACACUGGUCUCGAGUACAACGGAGGAGCUCCGAAACAAUAAGAGGAGUAAUGACAGUGAAAGAAGAGAGGACCAGGCCUGGACUUUAUGUUGUCGUUUUAUUAUGUUUAUAUGCAGCAGUCUUCCAUGAGGGGCAGCUGCUUUACUUUCACUUUGAUGUUUGUUUAUUUUAUGAUUAAACUUCACGCUAAUCGUUUGCCAGUUCUCGCCCAUUAACAAAUAUUGCUACAUAUCUAUUUGAGACAACAAAAACAGCAUUUAUUUGAUCUAGGGCUGGGCGAUUUUUCCGAUUUUUUUCCGAUUAACUUGAACUUAAUGUUUUGCCUCGAUUUUAUUAUUUGUAAAUCGAGAAAUCGUAAUUUUGAAUAAAAACGUAAGCUGCAAACUUUACAAUUAGACACGCUGACAAUACAGCAAUGAUAAGCGUUAAGAGAUGAAAAUGAUCAGACCUCAUGAUGGCACGUCUGAUUAACCGCUCUCGUGUGACGCUCUAUGAACGCAGAAUACAUUGCUAGUCUUAAGCGGCUGUUCACUCAGAAAUGCGUUACUGCGUUCAAAAGAAAAAAAAGAAAAAAUUUUUGAGUGACACGCUGCAAAAGACGCGAGACAUGAGUGCAACAGCCAAACAUGUCCACCAAACAUAAAAACAAUAGGAAAAAUAGAGCAAUGGAAUGCAAAAACCUGUAAAGAAUGAGAUAUUUUACGUUUGCAUGAUGGUGACAGGCUGAAAGCUGCUGUUAUUUUCUGGGGUUUUUUUUCUGUUAUUUUGUUUUUUUACAAAGCAUUUGCUGUUAAAUAACCUAUUACUGGUGUUAUUUAUUGCUAUUACUUUUUGGCUAAGAAAUAUUUAGCAUUUCUCUCAUUUUAUAUUAUUUCUGAGUAUACAGGAUAUGUUUAAGAUAAGUUCGUACAACAUUUGCCUUCAUAUUUCAUGCAUAUUUUCUGCGAAGAUAUUUAACACAAGUCAUUUGUUUUACAUUUACAGCAUGUUAAUCACUUCAGGUGUGGUGCACAUUUGGAAUAGGACUUUUUUUAACCAGAUGGUGAAUAAAGAGGAUGUUACUUAAAUCAUAUUGUAGUUACUAAGUUGACUAGUUAAACAAAAAAAAAAAAAAAAAAAAAAAAAAAAAAAAAAAACAGAAA